UAGGGAAUAUUGCACAAUGGGCGAAAGCCUGAUGCAGCAACGCCGCGUGCGCGAAGAAGGCCUUCGGGUUGUAAAGCGCUUUUCGGGGAGAUGAGCAAGGACAGUAUCCCCGGAAUAAGGCUCGGCUAACUACGUGCCAGCAGCCGCGGUAAAACGUAGGAGCCUAGCGUUAUCCGAAUUCACUGGGCGUAAAGCGCGUGCAGGCGGCUUGGUAAGUUGGAUGUGAAAUCUCUCGGCUCAACUGGGAGAGGACGUUCAAUACUGCCAGGCUAGAGGGCGGAAGAGGGAGGUGGAAUUCCCGGUGUAGUGGUGAAAUGCGUAGAUAUCGGGAGGAACACCAGUGGCGAAGGCGGCCUCCUAGGCCGCUCCUGACGCUCAGACGCGAAAGCUAGGGGAGCGAACGGGAUUAGAAACCCCGGUAGUCCUAGCUGUAAACGAUGUCGACUUGGCGUCGGUGGUGUAAAAGCCAUCGGUGCCGAAGCCAACGCGAUAAGUCGACCGCCUGGGGACUACGGCCGCAAGGUUA
rnacentral:rRNA from 1 species